rnacentral:rRNA from 1 species
GAUGAACGCUGGCGGCGUGCUUAACACAUGCAAGUCGGGCGAGUGAGUUCUUCGGAACGAUCUAGCGGCGGACGGGUGAGUAACACGUGGGCAACCUGCCUCAUAGAGGGGAAUAGCCUUCCGAAAGGAAGAUUAAUACCGCAUAACAUCGUUGAAGGGCAUCCUUCGAUGAUCAAAGGAGCAAUCCGCUAUGAGAUGGGCCCGCGGCGCAUUAGCUAGUUGGUGAGGUAACGGCUCACCAAGGCGACGAUGCGUAGCCGACCUGAGAGGGUGAUCGGCCACAUUGGGACUGAGACACGGCCCAGACUCCUACGGGAGGCAGCAGUGGGGAAUAUUGCACAAUGGGGGGAAACCCUGAUGCAGCAACGCCGCGUGAGUGAUGACGGCCUUCGGGUUGUAAAGCUCUGUCUUUGGGGACGAUAAUGACGGUACCCAAGGAGGAAGUCACGGCUAACUACGUGCCAGCAGCCGCAGUAACAC